GUGGUGGUAGCUCAGUGGUUAAGGCAUUGGACUUCCAAUUGGAAAGUUGAGAGUUCAAAUCCCACUGGGCUCU